rnacentral:rRNA from 1 species
UACAGAGGUCCCAAGCGUUGUUCGGAUUUACUGGGCGUAAAGGGUGCGUAGGUGGCGAGGUAAGUUCGAUGUGAAAAUCUCCGAGCUCAACUCGGAAAUGGCAUUGAAUACUAUCCCGCUUGAGGGUCGGAGGGGAGACUGGAAUUCUCGGUGUAGCAGUGAAAUGCGUAGAUAUCGAGAGGAACACCAGUGGCGAAGGCGAGUCUCUGGACGACUCCUGACACUGAGGCACGGAAAGCUGGGGGGAGCAAACAGG